GUAGGAUAAAAAGAGAUGACCAAAUUCACCAAGCAGUACUGAACAGUAGGUCAAUGACAUGGAAUGUAUCACUGCUGAUAUGCUAGUAGGCUAAAGACGAGACAAUGCUGCUUGGGAUGGUUUACAGGAAUAGAAGUUCUCGAGGAAUUUCAGCCCUUGCUUUAGUAAAAUAGUUUACGUCGCUGCAUAUUCCAUUUUUUUCCGUGUGUAGUUUUGCCAGAUUUUCUCUCAUUUGGCUUCUUUAUGUUACUAGUGUCUUGGGGCAUCCCCAGAAUUAUACCUACUAAUCCAAUCAAACAAUUGCUCUAGGAACUGGACUUACCAGAACUUUGAUAAUGUCUUGGUGAUGACCAUUAGGAGCUCCAAAUAUGAAUGCUGAUGCCUGAUGGAAAUGUGGAUAUAUUUUUGACAUUGCUCUGUCAGUACCUAGUAUUGGAUUCUGAAGCAGGGAAAAGUCUGGAGAUUUUGAUGAUAAUCUUCACAAGACCAACUCUAGGAGGUUGGCAGUUCGACCAUCUAAUAACAGAACCACGAAAAAUGAAGUUGAUGGUUAUAAUUGAAGUAGGAGAUUUGGGUAGGACAUGCCUUUGUCACAAUAUAUAUAGUUUGGUAAGAGGAUUCAAGGACUGCUAUAGGAUAUGUUUGGCUAUGCUACGUUAUGAUGAAAGGAUGUGCUACGGGGCGAUUUUUGGCAGAGCAUCUUAAACACUGGUGGAAGAACGUAUGUAAAAUCAUGAAAGCUUGGAGACGGAAAUAUGAAGUCAAAUUCUUGUGCAAUGUUAAUGGCUGGU
rnacentral:lncRNA from 1 species